rnacentral:rRNA from 1 species
GUUGUAUAGUCAAGUAAUUAAGUGCAUGUGGUGGAUGCCUUGGCAGUCAGAGGCGAUGAAAGACGUGAUAGCCUGCGAAAAGCUCCGGGGAGGCGGCAAAUAUCCUUUGAUCCGGAGAUGUCUGAAUGGGGGAACCCACCUACUUUAAGGUAGGUAUUGCAACAUGAAUACAUAGUGUUGCAAGGCGAACGAGGGGAAGUGAAACAUCUCAGUACCCUUAGGAAAAGAAAUCAAUUGAGAUUCCCUCAGUAGCGGCGAGCGAACGGGGGUCAGCCCAUUAAGUUAUGUGUGUUUUAGUGGAACGCUCUGGGAAGUGCGAACGUAGAGGGUGAUAUUCCCGUACACGAAAGGGCACACAUAAUGAUGACGAGUAGGGCGAGGCACGUGAAACCUUGUCUGAAUAUGGGGGGACCAUCCUCCAAGGCUAAAUACUCCUGACUGACCGAUAGUGAACCAGUACCGUGAGGGAAAGGCGAAAAGAACCCCUGUGAGGGGAGUGAAAUAGAUCCUGAAACCGCAUGCAUACAAGCAGUGGGAGCACCUUCGUGGUGUGACUGCGUACCUUUUGUAUAAUGGGUCAGCGACUUAUAUUCAGUAGCGAGGUUAACCGUAUAGGGGAGCCGUAGAGAAAUCGAGUCUUAAUAGGGCGUUUAGUUGCUGGGUAUAGACCCGAAACCAGGCGAUCUAUCCAUGAGCAGGUUGAAGGUUGGGUAACACUAACUGGAGGACCGAACCCACUGUCGUUGAAAAGCCAGGGGAUGACUUGUGGAUAGGGGUGAAAGGCUAAUCAAGCCUGGUGAUAGCUGGUUCUCCCCGAAAGCUAUUUAGGUAGCGCCUCGGACGAAUACCAUAGGGGGUAGAGCACUGUUUCGGCUAGGGGGUCAUCCCGACUUACCAAACCGAUGCAAACUCCGAAUACCUAUGAGUACUAUCCGGGAGACAGACUGCGGGUGCUAACGUCCGUAGUCAAGAGGAAAACAAUCCAGACCGCCAGCUAAGGCCCCAAAAUCAUAGUUAAGUGGGAAACGAUGUGGGAAGGCAUAGACAGCUAGGAGGUUGGCUUAGAAGCAGCCACCCUUUAAAGAAAGCGUAAUAGCUCACUAGUCGAGUCGGCCUGCGCGGAAGAUGUAACGGGGCUAAAACUAUGUGCCGAAGCUGCGGAU